CGCAGUGUCAAGCGCUGGGACUAUUUUAUUAAUUCUAAUGUAGGUAAUGUAGUGCAACACGUUCUAUUAGAAAAGUUAAAGAAUGGUCCAAAAUUACUUAGAGAUAACUGCACUGAGUCUAGUUUUAUGUCUAGACCUAACAGCCAGUUACCUGUGUAACCCACCUAUGCAGUACCACCCACACACACAGUCCUGUGUCUACCUGGUCAAAGAUUGGUUGUCAAAAGAUGGUGCACUUAACUAUUGUGCGAGACGGUUUAAAGGCGGCAUAAAUCAGAGAUACACGGGGGAUCUGAUGUGUAUCUUGGAUACAGAAAC